GACGAACGCUGGCGGCGUGCUUAACACAUGCAAGUCGAACGGAAAGGCCCCUUUGGGGGUACUCGAGUGGCGCACGGGUGUGUAACACGUGAGUAACCUGCCCUUGACUUCGGGAUAACUUCAGGAAACUGGGGCUAAUACCGGAUAGGAAUCCUUGCUGCAUGGUGGGGGUUGGAAAGCUUCGGCGGUUUUGGAUGGACUCGCGGCGUAUCAGCUUGUUGGUGGGGUAGUGGCUUACCAAGGCUUUGACGGGUAGCCGGCCUGAGAGGGCGACCGGCCACAUUGGGACUGAGAGACGGCCCAGACUCCUACGGGAGGCAGCAGUGGGGAAUAUUGCACAAUGGGCGGAAGCCUGAUGCAGCAACGCCGCGGGCGGGAUGACGGCCUUCGGGUUGUAAACCGCUUUCAGCAGGGGCGAAGCUUGUGGUGACGUUACCUGCAGAAGAAGCACCGGCUAACUACGUG
rnacentral:rRNA from 1 species